AUCUCUGCUUGUGGUAUUGGGGAUGGAUCACAGGAGCAUCUCAGGGGAACCCCAGUUAUUCUCAGAAGGGUACUAGCAAUAGCAGUUUCUUGGGUUUAGGUUCUGGACAAGGUAUCCGAGGAACUCCUGCAUGUGGUCUUCCUCCUAACACCACCAUGUGGUCUAAUACCACCUGCCUCUUUCAGGACCCUGCAAAUCAAGUACUUAGACUUGGACCCCUCAGAAGCUGUGAAUACACAUGUCUGAUAAAGUUAUGUGGUCUGCACACACAGAAAUGGAAAGGGGGGUUAUAUUUAGAGAGUCAUCAUGAGACCUGAAGCUCUCCUGAGUUUAGACCCCCCAAGCUCUGUGGAGUACAGAGACACUGAGGAUUGAACAUUCAUGGGACCUCGGCCUGGGGGAGUUAGAAGGUGAAUCCUGCAUGUCCUGAUUGGUCUGGGAGGAGACAUUCAGAGGCUCCUUCUCCACAGGCAUUAUGCCGUAUUCUGUCUUCUCUCUAACUCAGGUUUCAAAGAGCAGAGACCGAUCCAAAACGUGGAAUUUGAAUCUGAGAUGCAAAGAGGGAAGAAAGUAUAAGUCUUGAAAGGGUUGGAAGUGGUCACUGCAGCAGCAAAAAUCCAUCUUGAGGUGAAAUAACAUCUAUCUGUGCCUCCAAUGGAACUUCAAGGAUACUCUGGACUGACUGUGAGGCCAUGGUGUUGCCUGGUCCCUCUGCCCUGGGAGAUCAGAAGCAGGAGAAGGUUUUACCUUCAAAAAUGGGGAAGAUAUGGAGACCAUGAAGUAACUGACUCAAAAUCACAAGGCAGAAGGUUUGCCAUCUAACAAUAUUGACUGACUCCAAAAAAAGGAGGGAAAGCCCCAGAUGCUGGUGAGCUGUGGUUCUUUCCUCCUUCCUCCAUCUUGAAUUGCUGCCUCCUUUAAGGAACAGACAUAUAUUCUCUUGCUUGAGAAGGAAGAAGGCAGCCAACAUUUAGGCAGAUGAGGUACCAGUUACAUUCAGGAGUAUGACUGUGAUCUUCAGGGAGUCAGAGUGGAAAACACUGAGCACUGAGCAGAGGAACCUAUGCAAAGAAGCAAUGCUGGAAAACUCCUGAAAUGGCUCAUGUUGGGCUUGGUGGUAAGACCCUCUCCAUCCCAGACAAUGCAGCAGAACUCAGCAGCCUGGCUGGGGCUCCUCUAACCGAAAACUCCCUUUUUACAGCAGAGCCAAAGCCAGAAACCUCCCCUUGUUCCUCCUGCCUUGUGGCUUUCUCCUGCCAGCAGUUCCUCAGCCAACGGGUGCUUCAGAUCUUUCCAGAGUCAUGUGCAGAAGGUUUCUUCCCUCCGGAAGAUUCCAGCCUAGGGUGUCAGAAGCAGUAGGAGCAACAGCCAUGCUGUUAGAGUGAAAGCAUCAAAAUUGAGAGUCAGAGGUAGCGUCAUAUCCUUGUGUGUGAGGAUGCAGAAGAGAGACACCUUGAGGACAUCACCCAGUACAUUCCAAGGACGGUCUGCAAGUCCUAGAGAAGUCAGCGCAGUGGUAGAAUCAGAGCCCUCCUCAGCCCAAAGGGUUGACCUUGUGUAACAGGACAAAGGGUCGAAGGAGUUGGAAACCUUGGGAUUUGGAGCAGAGUCAGCUGUAGAGAGUGCGAGCCAGACUGUAGCCCAAGGCAACUUCAUUACAAAAGCCAGGACCCUCCUGGGCAAGUCCUGUUUGCAGAGAUUGUGGGUGAGGCUUUACAGACAUCAUCAGAUGCCACUGAGUCUUUAACCAGAAGCUUAGCCUCAACAGACACCCGAGAGCACAUUCAGAAGAGGAACCUUUCUUGUGCAGGGAGUGGGGCAAAGCUUUAGAAAGAAGUCCAUCCUCAGUUGACAUCAGCAGACUCCCUCAGGGGAGAAGUCCUGCGUUUACAGCGAGUGCAGGCAAGGCUUUAGCCAGAGGCCAUCCUUCUUCAGACACCAGAGGACACACCCAGGUGAGAAAUCCUCCAUGUGUCUGCAGUGUGGACGAGGCUUCGGGGAUAAGUGGACCCUCAGAAACCACCAGAGGCCACACCCAGGGGAGAAGCCUCUGUUUGCAGGGAGUGUGGGUGAAGAGUUUGCUGCAAAUCAACCCUCAUUGAACAAAAGAAGGCACACUCAGGAGAGAAGCCUCUCGUGUGCACUGCGUGUGGGUAAGGUUUUAGCUACACCUCCUUGUCCACAAGAAGACACUUGGGGAAAAGCAAGGUUUUAGGCAGAAGUCAAAUCGCAUCAGACACCAGAAGACACACUGAGAGGAGAAGUCUUGUACGUGCAGGAAUCCUGGGCAAGACGUGAGCCCUCAGUCACACUUCAUCUCACACCAGAGAGACACACCAGAAGUGGUCCACACGUGCGUGUGGAGUAUGAGUGAUGUUUCAGAGGUGUGUCACCCCUCUUAGGCAUGGAAAGACUCGUGGAGGAGAGGAGCCGCAUGAGUGUACAGCAUGGAUAGCUCUGUAGCCGCAGGUCAGUCUCACUGCACACAAGAGGGCAUGCUUAGGGGGAAAGAUUCGUGUGUGCAGGGACUGUGGCAACAUCCAGUGACAGCCCUGGAGAAUAAGUGUCACAGGUUCAGGGUGCUGGUGAGCAUCAGCCAAAGAGUGAAAGUCAGCACAAGAGGGCCAUCUGUGGUCACACGCCACAGGGAGAAUCCAUUGAGUGGGGAUGCCAUGGACCCUGCCCAGGUGACCUUUCAGGGCUGACACCCCAGCAGCUUGAGAGAAAAGGACUGCUGCUUGCAGAGAUGGGUUUAGUUCUAGCACCAGCUCUCAGCCACAGGGAGCUACAGACCCUGGGCUCUGCCCUUUCCCAGGAGGAGCACUUGACCAAUCACCUAUUGAUGCCAGCAGGUAAAACCUCACCCGUUCCAAGGAUCAUUCCAGAUCCAGAGGUCCCCUCUGGACUGAAUGAUCUCUCAGUUGCCCAUACAUUGCAGGUCAACCUCUUCCUCUGCCCAGUCCGGCCCUCACUCCACGGUGAACCCCGAUUCUCCAUCUCUGUUUCAGCAGGGAACCUAAUCUAGCACCUGAUGUGUGUAAGGUGUGGAUGAGGCUUAGGCCAUGCCAUCCCUCAGCAAAUGCCAGAGUAUACAGAGAAGCAACUCUGGGGGUGCUGGACAGGAAGGGACUGGCAGGGACUUAGGGAAGAGGCACACUUGCCAGAGAACAGCUUUUUCGGUAAAAGCGUUACACAGGGCGAUGUGAGAUGUGUUAGCAAUGUGUUAAACCUCAUCUGCAACAGGAUACGCUCAGCAGCUGGGCUGUGUGCGCAGGGUUUGUAGGUGGAGCUUUACCCUGAUUCUCCUCUUCAGCAGACAAGAGGGCAGAGUCCUGCCACCCUAAAUCUUUGCCUCGCCCAUCUCUGAGGGCGUUUCAGCAGAAGCCUUGACCCUACUGUGAAUGAGAGUAAAGAUGGCAGUAACAAUUACAUAGACAUUUUCCAACUUUUUGUAAUCAGAUGGAAUAAAAAAGUAGGUGUUAUUUAAGUA